rnacentral:lncRNA from 1 species
CCCGCCCUGGCGCCCAGCUCUUCCGCCGCGGCGCGCUCCUGAUGAGUGCUGUGUCCAGGAUGAUCAUGAAUUCAAGCUCUGGAGCUUGAGAUGAACUGGUCCGACUUCUAGAAGAGAAGGUAGGCAUCUGUGUGUAGAGUCAAGGUUUUAGGUUACCUGUUCCCCUUCAUAUCGGGAACGGGUGAAUUCUGAGGCAUUCUCAUUGUAUAUAGAGAGCAUGAGAAUUUUGUGUCUGUAGAACGAAGUUCCAUUAUUUAGUUUUCUAUGCGUCAGCCCUACUCUGAAACAUGUCACAAUGUUAACAUAAAAGAUCUUUUGAAAAAAUUGGCUUUAUUUAUAAAAUUUUUACUUUUAUGUUUGCUUGCAUGUCUGUUCCAUAUGUGUGCAGUGCCCCUGGAGGCCAGAAGAGGGCAUCAAGAAAUUUUUUUUGAAAAUUUUAGUUUUAUUUAUAAAACUUUUUUAUAUGUUUUGCCUGCAUGUCUGUACCAUGUGUGUGCAGUGCCCGUGGAGGCCAGAAGAGGGCAUCAAAUCCCCCUGGAAUUGGAGUUACACUUGGUUGCUAGGAAUUGAACCUAACUCCAAGAAGAGCAGGCAGCCAGGGCUCCUAAUUGCUGAGCCCUAAACUUUGGCAGCUCAGAAUUGUCCAACACAUAGUUGAGAGAUCUAGUCCUCCCAGGAGAGUGAGUUGUAUGGUAGGAUCCUUUUGGUGUCCUGGCUUAAUACCCACCAUGUGUACUCUAGCUGUAGCUGGAAUGAGCAAAUAGCCUAUGUGAUUUAAACUACCAUGUCAAUGCCUCAUUAUGUUCAAAUGCUCUGUAGAGAAAUGAAGCAAAAAGUUAAUGUUUUCAGAGAACUCAUAAUUCCAAGUAAGAGUCUUGAAUAUAUGGAGUGAAAGAGCUUUACAUUGUCCACGAUGAUGCGCUGUGGCGCUCCCAGGCAUGAGCAGAGUAAACUUGGCAACUAUGGUCUGGUGGGGGUGGGGUGGUGGCCACAGUCUCACCAGAUCUUCAUCCAACUGGCAGACACUACCCAUCUCCAAUGCAGGAAUCUCGCUCUAGGGCCCUAGCCCUACCCCGAGGCCCACUGGUCUCUCAUCUCUAAUAAAUGAUUGUUUCUUAUCUCUAGGUUCCCCCCCCCCCCCCAGGAAAAGCCAGUGCAGUUACCUGACAGUGAGUAAACCCGAUGUUUCUUGUGGUUUCGUCAGAUCUACCAUCGCCUGCCAGCCUGACCUGCUUUGACCCCGCAGACUGUCCCUGUCCCCUCUGAACAAAAGGAUGGCUGUUGCACAGCAGCCCUAUGGUUUGGUUGCUGCAGGUACUUAAAAUGGCUGUCUGAACUUAAACUGGGAGGGUAGCCAUUAGGAGAUAGAAACCUACCUCCCAUAUUUCUUAGGAGUCUUGUGAUUUGGAGACUCCAUUUGUUCUUCAUUCCUCCCUAAAUGGCCAACCACCGUGGGCAAGGGUUCACCUGCCACUCAUAAGCCUAGCCUGAGCUGUGCAGUGGUGCUGCAUACCUUUAAUCCUGGCAGAGGCGGGUGCAUUUCUGAAUAUGAGGCCAGCCUGGCCUACAGAGCAAAUUCCAAAACAGCUAAGGCUACACAGAGAAACCAAACCACUCCAGCCUGAUUGUUUCAAGUACAGACCUUUCCUGAAGGUUCAGGCUUGGGCCUACUCAACUCCAUAGGCCCAAAGGCUAAUUCUUGAUAAAGUCAGUUAGGCUUCUGUUUCCUUGCUAGACACCUGGCCUCUCAGAGUCAAGUAACCUUCCCUCUCCCCUGACUUGAUUUAUAUAAGCCAGUCCUGCUAGUUCAAUAAUUGAGCUGUUCUCCGAAACAGUAUCCUAGGGUAGAAACAUAGAUUUAGCGGUGAAGAUGACCAGACCAAGUCUGCAGCCACCAAAACAAGAUUACUAGUUCUCAGAAAAAAUUUCCUGCCCUUCCCUGCACUGAAUUCCAAAGAAAACCACAAAGUGCCCUGAUCUUGCCACCAAAAUUCCCUGAGAUACUAAUUAGCUGACCAAUGAAUUUACAAAUAUAUUGCUGCUUUGCUGACCAAUCACAAUAUGACUAUUCAACCCUCCAUAAAAAGAGUAUAAAAAGAGCUGUGCUUGGGCUGGUGAGAUGGCUCAGUGGGUAAGAGCACCCGACUGCUCUUCCAAAGGUCCAGUGUUCAAGUCCCAGCAACCACAUGGUGGCUCACAACCAUCCGUAACAAUGUCUGAUGCCCUCUUCUGGAGUGUCUGAAGACAGCUACAGUGUACUUCUUAAAUAAAUAAAUAAAUCUUAAAAAAAAAAAAAAAGAGCUGUGCUUUUAGAGCUGGGGGUUGACUCUCCUUGUGAGGCUGAGCAACCCCGAGCGCGCACGCAUGGGAGCAAUAAACAUCUUGCCAUUGCAACAA